GUGUGUAUCAUACCAACACUAAUGUAUCAGAUCGCAUCAAAACUUUGUAAUUAAGUGUGUUUCGGUGAGAGCAGUAUUAGGCUAGUUGACCUCUUGGGAAAGUCCUCAUGUUACACCUU
rfam:Lupinus angustifolius cultivar Tanjil chromosome LG16, whole genome shotgun sequence.